ensembl:lncRNA
CCUCCUGAAACCGGCCAACCAACCAACCCACCCCUUCCCCCCUCCAUCGGGUCUGUGAUUGGGCCUGGUGCUUCUCCGGCCAUUACUAGUCUGACUCCUGGUCAGGCUCCGCAUUUAGCUCCCGGUCGAGGUUCAGCGCUUCCCAAACUACAGGACGACUAUAAUCAAAUACAGUCCGGGGGCCACUUGAUUUAAGCCUGGCUACGUCCUGUCGGAACGUAGUCAUUGAAUGCGACUGCAAGCUUUUGAGGCCAACCUGACGAAGACGACGGCGAGGACGACUUGCACCCAGCGCCUAUUUAUUGCUAUUGCCGACCGCGCAGUUCUUCUUCUGAUGCCUUCCCGUUGCCCACCCAAUGUUUUUAAUCACGUUUUUAUUAUUUAUAUCCAACCGCAUUGAAUCUGUGGUUUUUAUGAAGUAUCUGUUCAUGCACUGUAUAGAAACCGUACGAGGGCCCACUUUGAACAACUUGGAACCAGUUUUAUAAUUUCAUUUUUUUUUUUUAUGUCAAUCUUUUCGAACUGCUACUUGCCAAUCCGUCUGAUUAAUCGUUUCUAACUUCCGAGUGCGGAUCUUAACGAGCGGUGUUUCAUAAUUUUUUAACGAAUUGCCCUAGGUGUCAGCCUUGUAACUGCAACGGGACCCCCCUCCCCUCCAUGUUCAGGGCAUUGGUUACACACUUGUUCAACACAAUGUUCACAAUGUUUGAUUCCCUUAUCGUCGGAGUUGCCAUUCCAAUCCUAUCCCCUAGUCCUAUCCCAUGUGUGACGGUACAAAUUCCUUGUUGGGCCUUUUAGUACAGCACAUGGGACGAGGAUUCACACAAAACUAAAACAAGGCAACACCCCCCUCAACGGUAAUCCAGUAUGGGUUAGACGUUACUGGAUUGAUUUGAGUUGUUUAGGGAGUGUUGGAAGCCUUUUAAUGAAGACAUUGAUGAUGACAUUAAUGAUCGAUGAGGUCAUGCUCGAUGGCUACAUCCCUCAAGAGUGCUGUUACGCCCCCACUAUGAUGUCAUGUGUAAGCAGUUCAAUAGAUUGCCUUAUUGCGUGCUAAUGGGUCACUCGCCUGCAAUGUGAGGCCAAUUUAAGGUAAAUGGGAUGUAAGCCUGGUUAGCACUGGUGCUUUUUAAAACACUACUCCAUUUGUUUUCAUUCUUUAUUUUUUUUUUUGUACAUGGGUUGAAUUACUACAAUUACACUCGGACCGUUACAGAGUUACCACCGGAUGGCUUAUUGUCCGUCGGAAAAAGAACAAAAAAAAGGAAUUGACCGUAAUGUCAGUUAAUGCUCUUAAUCUUUGUCUCACAAUCAGGGAAGGAGGUGUGACUUUUGAUGCCUUACAAAAUUACCCGCUUGUAAACUGUUAUCAGGUUUAUUUUGCACAUAGCAUAUAUUACGUCUGUCUUGGGCAUAUUAAUCUUCCAGUACCAAAAUAGAGGAUGAUGGGUAAUACUCAACGCAUGGAUUAUGGAUGCUGUACACAAGUACAGCAGGAAUGCCUUAAUGACCCACAACCAACUUGUUCAUACUUAAGCUUUAUUAUUAAAUAUGACUAGGCCUAUAAUAACUUUGAAGAAAAAAUAUACCGUUUUGGACUCUUGAAUCUGUAUCGACUUUUAAUAUAAUAAAAGUAACCUAACACUACCAUGGCUUGUUUCUUGAAGUUCACAAAUAAUCUAAUAAAUCCUUUGAACGGUGUAUAAAACUGAAGUAAUAAGACUGAUACUAGUUAUAGCAGAUUACGACUUGCCAGAGCAAAUACAUGUUUUACAUUAUUUCCCUUUCUUAAGACAAUGUUCAAUGUUGUUAAGCAGAACUGUUCAAAACAAAUAAUUAAGGUUUUUUUCUUGGUUACAAAUUAUCAGACAAACUGAAAAGUGAAAUGAGUGUCUCAUUUACAUUUCCUCUUGUACCUAUUUUUUGCUCAUUCUAGU